rnacentral:rRNA from 1 species
GCAAUCAUACCAGCUCUAUUGCACCUGAUCUCAUCAAAACUCCGAAGUUAAGCGUGCAUGGACGAGAGCAGUACUAGGAUGGGUGACCCCUUGGGAAGUCCUUGUGUUGCACCU